ACAAAUCAGUUUGUCCCAUCACCUAUCUUUUCCAUGUUCAGUUUUCUUCUUUGAGAUAUGAUCAAGUUUGUGAAAUGCCACAUUUUUUGUACUGGUCCAGACGUGACCUGUAGGAAACGAAUCUGCAGAAAAUUAUGAAGCCUGAGGUUAGAUGAUUUGGGCCAUGGGAUGAACUAUAGCUCUCUAUCUAACUCUGCUCGUAGCUAGAGGAGUGUCUCUAGCUUAAAAUAAAGAAAUAAAAUCACCAUUUGUGUAAUAGGGGUAAACAGCAUCCUUGGGAAUAUCUGCAUUUGAAGCUAUACAAAAAUAAUUGCAUUGGGAAAGCUUAAUUGCAUAGGGAUGGCUUCCUGAGUGUGUGUGUUGUGGAAAUUCUGACCAUGGAGUACCAGGGACAUGUUCCAAUUCAGUGUAACCUGUUUUCAACAUAACAGUAGUUUCAGCAAGGCAUUUUUGCCUGGAGUAUAUCUGCAUAGAGAACUACUAAAUGUGUGUUGCAUUUUAAGCUUGCACACUUCUAUUGUAAAUUUACUUUCAAAUUUAGACAGGAUCUUACCUUCUUGGUAAGGUCUUUUUAAAUCUACAGAAAAGAUGCACUAAUAGUGAAAGGCAGUAUUUGUUUUAGCAGCUGACAGAAUUGUCCUGUCGUUUGCCUUGUCUCUCUUUUUCCUUAUCUGUUAAAAAUGCAGAAAGGUGGCUUUUUUUUUUUUUUUUUUUAACAUGAAAGAACCAAAAAUCUAAGUUAAAAACCUUAGUUCUGUCAAAGUUCUCCUUGAUAUGUCAGAGAAGCUGAACUUGCUAUUCCCAGUGUGAGGAGCGUGCCGUACAACGCUGGCAUUGUCUUGCAGUCCUCAAUGCAGUAGCUUUGUUCUGUUGCAGAAGCUUUUUGGUUAUAAGAAAACCUCUAUUUCAGACUGAAUUCUGUAACCAGCUGCCAGACGAUGAAACAGAGAACAAAAAGGAUGUUGGCCAUAGCAGGGAGAGAUGGAGAAAGAACUCUAUAUAUACUAAAACAUGAAUAAAAAAACGCACAGAAAUCCUCUGGGGUAUAGUUGCUCUUACUGUCCUUGUCAUUAAGUAUUUGCUGAUCUGGUAACCUCUGCUUUUCUGGAGUGAAACCUGACUUUGCAGUGCCAAGGCACCAUCAGCUGUCAUUUUUUCCUUGGCUGUUAUUCCUUUUUGAUGUGAGCAAGGUCUGGAAAUGCAUACACUUUUUUUUUUUUUUUUUUUUUUUUUUUUAAUUCUUAGAGUAGAUAGAUGAGAAAGAAAUAGAAGCUUCCAAGGACUUUCUUAGAGCUUCUCUAAGAAGUAGCUGAGAUGUGAUGGAGAUUGAAAGCAACCGUGGGUCAGUUGCCUCCCUCUGGCAGGCGUGAGGGAAGAAAUGCUAGGAAUUUUCAGAGUUCAAAUGGAUUCCUCCUUUCCUUGGAUAUUCUUAAGGAAUUCCUGUGUCCUUCUGCAGCCCCUAAUUGUUCUCAGACUGCCUGCAGCCCAGAGGAGUACAUUUGAGACUGCCAGACUGGUGACUUAGAGCAGAAGAGGACUUCUCACAGUGUUUGGAGCUGAUGGUGUUUGCAUGUAUUGUCACUGAAUGCACUGAGUUCAGUCUGUAUUGUCAGGAACAGACUGAAACUGUGACAUCUCUGGUGGUUGCAACUGAACAGUACAUAGGAGCCUUGUGUUUAUUUUGAUGUAAAAUCUCCUAGGCACAGAUUGAUUUGUAUAGAGCAGCUGAGGACUUAGGAGAUGGAAAGUGUGUUACCCUACUCUUUCUGGUGCUGAAAAUAGUCUGGGUAAACUCGGAUCCCAGAAAGCAUGUAUCUUUGCCUUUCCAAGAUGUAUCACGUUUUGAAAGAAGUACAUGGAAGUUUGCCUUCUGAUUUUCAUUAGCCCUUCUGGGGAUCUUGAGGCUAGAGCCAGAGCCAACGAAGGUGAGGAUAAAAAAAAAAAAAAGAAGUCUUAACUGAAAAGACCUGGCAUUAGUUUGUUUGGAAUACUGACUGAGGUUGUCUUCUUUAAGAACAGAGUGAAUGUGUUCUUCAUUUCAGUGCAUGCAAUUAGUGAGGUUCUUAGGGUGGGGUACACAAAAUAACUGGGGGGAGCUUGAGGAACAGAAAAUACCAUCAUUCCCUACCAAGCUAUGAAUGAAAAAGACGUUGGCAGAUGAGAUCUAAUAGGACAAAGAUUCUUCUUGGCUGUUGGUGUUCUUAACUCAGAUCACUAACUGUUAAUGAUGUUAGAAAAGGCUAAUGUCUACUAAGAGGUGAAGACUUAGGGUAAAAAAAGAAUAUAUUCAGAAUUCAGUGAAUCAUAGAACCAUUAUGGUUGGAAAAGGCCACUAAGAUCACUGAGUGUAUCCAUCAACCCAUCACUAUGUUUCCAUGUAGAAAAUCGCUCCUGGAGAAGCUUUUUGCAAUCUGGUUGCACUGUUCCUUUUUAGGUUUGCUUUUUUUUUUUUUGCCUAUACCUGUAAAUUACAUCUAUUGAACAGAGCGUAGUCUUGUUCUGUGCCUUGUACAGCAAUGAAUCAAGUGCUGAAAAGUAUCUCUGGGCCAAAUGUCAGAAGUGAGUUACUAAUUCAUUUGUUUCUAUAUUGGUAGAAAUGACAGGCAAGAGUAGUGUGCUUUUAUUUGCUAUUCUUAGGCAGCAGUAGCAGGCUGUAUUGAAUUAAUCCAAAAUUUGGAACAAAUCCGAGCCCUAAAGCAAGCUGACAGACAGUGCAGAGAACGUAAGGAUGUGGGGUAGGCAAGAGAACAAAUCAGAUGCAUCUCUGUUUGCAUAGACUUGUGUAGAAAUGCAUCCUGGUUGCUUUUGCACUUAACCUAAUGGGUGCAGACAAAGACUUGGACUGCAAAGUACCUACCAGAAAAUGUUUGCAGAUCCUGGUUGAGAGGAAAUGGAGCUGCAUGGUGUAACUGCCUUUUGAUUUCUUCAUGGUUUGAAAAGAUACUGUCACAUUAGAAAUAAGCUGUACUGGUAUAAUGGGAUAAUGUAAACUAGCCUUUUGUAGCCACUGAAGUAGAAAAAUCAUCUGUGUAAACUGAUUAGGAAUGCAAGUGUUACUGAAGAUCUUCCUCUCCUGGAUGGGUCAGGAGCACAGCAUGUGAAAGAUGUGUCUAUUUGUGGAGCAGACUACCAGCAUGGGUACGUACAGGGAGUAAAGGGUGUCAGUCAGUAUUUUUUUUGCACCUUGCAUUUUGAGCUAGGUUUCCAAAAGAAGCAAAGGGUGCCUGCUGGUUAAAUAGGAGCAAGAUGCCAACUUGCCUGGGAAGAUGCAGCUAUAAUCCCUUCAAUGUCUGUGCUUGAGAUGUGUGCUGUGCAUAGAGCAGCACAAGGCUGUGAAACGAUCCUGCAAGUCAGACACCUUCUUUACUCCCUUCAGUCCUUAACCUGGUGUAUGUUUUUGGGUAAAUUCCUGUGGUGUUGUUUUUUCUACAAGUCAAUGUCUCAAAAGAUCUGGGAUGGAUACAGAGGUGCUUAGGCUGGGAUGUCAGUUUUAGCUGUUUAGAACCUUACUUUGUACUCUGAGUUAGUUACCUAACCUUCCACUGAACUUCCACUUGUCUGAUCAGCAUGUUGAUGUCUUGAGAACAAUUCACAUGACCAAAUGAGGGUGUUUGCUGCAGAACGAAUUCUCUGUUGGUUACACCUGCCUUGUGUGUAGGCAGGUUUGAUCAUAAAAUCACAGAAUGGUGGGGGUUGGAAGGGUCCUGCCAUGGGCAGAGAUUGUUAGACAUCAACUUAACAGUGUUUUAGUCAAUUUCAGUUUGUCUUUAAAAUUUGGAGAAAAUGUUUUGGAUAUGGAAGUCUUCCCUGUCUGUCGGUACCUGGAAUUAUGAUGCUGUAUUGGUGGCAUGGGGCUACAGGAGGGCCAGUGAAAGGAGGAUGAGGGGUAGAGAUCUUGGCACUUAUAAUUCUGUAGGAGAUCACCUUUGUAUAUAAAUAUGUCCAAAAGAAAAGUGCUGACAGAAUGUUACCUGAAAUUUGAGACAAAUUGGAGCAAAAAGGAAGAUCCUGUGUGAGAAAUUGCUAUUUUCUAGUUGCCAGUGCAAUCUGCAGUCUUUAAAAGACUCUGCUUUUACAGUUUUUACUGAGGUAUGUUCAGUUCAAAAAUUCUGGCAGGGAGAAGACAUGUUUUGGCUCUUGAUCAUGAGACAUCUUUUUAAAAAGGAAAGGGUGAGGGGGAAGCAAGGAGGGAGAAGGCAUGCUCCCUCUUGCUUUAAUUUGGCUUGCAGAGCUCCCUUUGAUAUUACACCGUGAAGUACCAUCUGUUGGUGUAAAAUGCGUGGGUACUUUCAUGAUGUGGAGAGAAGAGAGGCUUCCUUGGAGAAAAAAGGGGGAAGAAAGCUAUGAAAUAAACAACAGGAACACUCACAACCAUCUCUGUCUAAUCUCUUGAUCCUUUCACUGUGGAAGUUAAAUUCAGUAUUUAUAUUCUUCCCUCUACUAUCUUUAUCCCUUGUGUUGUUGAUUCUGUCCUGGUUUGCUGGUGUUGCAUUGUCUGUCUUACUUCUUUUAUUUCUAUUUCUUCUUUUAGAAGAGUCACCCAUUUAAUUUUAGAGAAAGAAACAGAUGUCCAGAGUAAUUCUCUGGCUCAGAUGAUCAGGCUUGCUAAAUUUCACUGAUUAAUGUUUCUUUUGCUGUUGCUAUUGCUGAAAUUUUCCUGAAGUCCAUCUUUGACUUCAGCUCAUGAAGAUUUCCUGGCUGAGAGGGACAAAGCCACUUGUGCAGACCUAUUUGCUAAACAUAUAUUUUGUACUGACCUUCCUUUCCCUGGCAUCUGCAUUGGAAACAGAGGGUAGAUGAGGAAAGAGGACUUGAUUGAUACCUGUGUAGGUAUUCUUUGGUUUUGUUUUAAGCAGUUGUAUCUUGCUGUCUGGGCUACCUGGGAGGAUGACUCCUGCCUGGGGUGGCCAUCUAGUGAUGAAUCAGAAUAUUCCAAGUUGGAAGGGACACAUAAGGAUCGUGAGGUCCAACUCCUGGCUGCGCACACGGCCACUUAAAGCGUCUGGAUCUGUGAGCGUGCUGGAAGUUCAUUGGCUCUGUGUGUGUUUAUGUAAGAGUGCUUCCCCUCUUCCAAGUAUGAAUGGCAGCUAGGAUGCUGAGAGGAGAGAGGUGUCAAAAGAAGUCUCAGUUGUCAUCCUCACUUUUGUCACUGGCUUUUUGUAAGUGGUGCUCUUGCAUCUGUGAUGGCCUUGGCAAGGUUUGUUGGUAGAAGCAUUGUGUCUUACAUUAGAAAGAAGCUUAUUCAGACAGUGUGACCAAAAGCUUGUUUGAUUCAAUGAAGAAUACUUUUUUUUUCCCCCAAAGAUAUUACUGGGUCUAAUAAAAGAUGCUUUCCCCCCACGCAAACUUUAUCUGUCCUCUACUAAGACCUUUUUAAAAGCUGAGGGUUUUCACUGGCUUGCCUUGCAUAGAACCUCCAUGAUGUAAAGUGAACUGCGUGGUCUGCAGCUCUGUUUCUAUCCACGUGUCCUGGCAGGCAGGCUCUAUGUUUAGGGGCUGUUUGGCUUCUGUGAAGAAGCAGAUGAUCUUUUUGUUUCUUCUUGUCUGGGAGAAAGGUUUAGAUACAUCCUGACAGCAGGCAGCUCUGCGUGGUGAUAGUGAUGUGGAACAGCCUUCCAGGUACUGCAGAACCACGGCCGUGUCCUCAGCCUGGCAAACUCAUCUCAAGCAGAACACUUGGGUAAUGUGAGCAGCAUGGUUGUGUGCCCAUUGAAGAACCACACAGCAGGGGGAGAAGCUUGCCUCCCAUUGCUGAUUUCCCAGGGGGAUGAAGUAUACAACUUUUUUCCUUUCCAAAAAGGGUAACAAAGGAUGAAGCAUUUUUAUGAUGUUGGAUAUCGGAUGUGCAAAGUCAACAAGAAAGAGAACACCUAACCUGUUAGAAGACCCUGGUACUGAUAGUGCUGAAGUGGUUGAUUCCAUGUUAAUUUCACCCCAAGAAUAGAUGGCAAGGAUUGGCAUUCAAUUAAAAAUCAGCAGAUUUCAGCUGCUCUAUUAUUUUGUAGCUUCCAGCAUUUUUAAAUUGCAGUUGCCUUGCUGCACUACAAAGGAGCAAACCAGGUUCUAUGCAGUCUUUGGAGGCUUCAUUUUAAUUCACAACAUUUCCAUGCUAAAACCAGCCUGGCUGACAUAUUACACCAGGGAAAGUCUUUGCAUCAGCAUUGCUUUCUGAGACUUCAAGAUGAGAGAAUGUGGCUUGUUUUUGGGAUGCAGAGGACAGUUUGCCAUCAAUUUGAUUUAUUUCUUAUUUUUUAACUUCAAAUGUGGAUGUCUUAUUCAAAUGUGAAGCAGUUGAAGGUUGGUGGAGUAUAUUAAUCAGAGGAGCCUUUGGAAACUUCAUUCUUUUAGUUCACUUUUGUGUAAUAACAAGUAGUGAAUGCAGGGGAGCAGCUGUGGCCCCCAGUUGUGGCAGCAGGACAUUCCAGCAGAUGCAGUGCAGCUUUGGCCCACAGCAGUUUCACACUUGAAUUUAGGUAUCAGAAAGGACUGUGAACAGUUUUUCUGAGCGGAGUGGCAUAUCAUGCAAGCAAAAGCUGACUGUGCUCUUUUUCCCUGGUUAGUUUAUUGCUGGUGCUUUAUAGAACUGAGAGAUUUGGUGGUGAGGUUUUUCAAUCUAAAGAUACCUUGUUGUUUUUUCAUUUUAUUUUUUUUACCUCUCUGUGUAUGUGAGAGCACAGACAAUGGUGCUGGUGGUGGAAGCCAGCUGGAGGAAAUGUGCUUGAAGUGUUUUCACAGCUGAAAUACUGAAAAACUCACUAUGUGGGGAAAAUAAAUCUUGCCUUCCUUC